GUUGGCCUUUAAAAGCAAUUUUGAAAACUGAGUUUCUAGUUGCUGUAAGAGUGAUGAGCCAGAGUACUUCCAGCUCAUGAGACUCUGGUUCAACGGAAAAUGAUGUUGGAUUUGAACUAAUGAGCAGGUAGUUUGGUCUGUGCUGUUCUUGCAUUCACAUCUCAGAGAUCAGAAGAG